rnacentral:rRNA from 1 species
UUGUCUCAAAGAUUAAGCCAUGCAUGUCUCAGUACAAGCCAAAUUAAGGUGAAACCGCGAAAGGCUCAUUAAAUCAGUUAUGGUUCCUUAGAUCGUACCCACACUUACUUGGAUAACUGUGGUAAUUCUAGAGCUAAUACAUGCAAACAGAGCCCUGACCGGAGACGGAAAGGGCGCUUUUAUUAGAUCAAAACCAAUCGGUGGCGGGUCUCCCGUCAUCGUAUACUUUGGUGAUUCUGAAUAACUUUUUGCUGAUCGCACGGUCUCGCACCGGCGACGCAUCUUUCAAAUGUCUGCCUUAUCAACUGUCGAUGGUAGGUUCUGCGCCUACCAUGGUUGUAACGGGUAACGGGGAAUCAGGGUUCGAUUCCGGAGAGGGAGCCUGAGAAACGGCUACCACAUCCAAGGAAGGCAGCAGGCGCGCAAAUUACCCACUCCCGGCACGGGGAGGUAGUGACGAAAAAUAACGAUACGGGACUCAUCCGAGGCCCCGUAAUCGGAAUGAGUACACUCUAAACCCUUUAACGAGGAUCAAUUGGAGGGCAAGUCUGGUGCCAGCAGCCGCGGUAAUUCCAGCUCCAAUAGCGUAUAUUAAAGUUGUUGCGGUUAAAAAGCUCGUAGUCGAAUUUGUGUCCCGCGGCGCCGGUUCAUCGCUCGCGGUGUCAACUGGCGUGUUCGCGGGACGUCCUGCCGGUGGGCUUAGCCUUCCGGGGCGGCCCAAUCUCAAUCCCACCGCGGUGCUCUUCACUGAGUGUCGAGGUGGGCCGGCACGUUUACUUUGAACAAAUUAGAGUGCUUAAAGCAGGCUAAAAUUUCGCCUGAAUACUGUGUGCAUGGAAUAAUGGAAUAGGACCUCGGUUCUAUUUUGUUGGUUUUCGGAACUCCGAGGUAAUGAUUAAUAGGAACGGAUGGGGGCAUUCGUAUUGCGACGUUAGAGGUGAAAUUCUUGGAUCGUCGCAAGACGGACAGAAGCGAAAGCAUUUGCCAAAAACGUUUUCAUUGAUCAAGAACGAAAGUUAGAGGUUCGAAGGCGAUCAGAUACCGCCCUAGUUCUAACCAUAAACGAUGCCAGCUAGCGAUCCGCCGACGUUCCUCCGAUGACUCGGCGGGCAGCUUCCGGGAAACCAAAGCUUUUGGGUUCCGGGGGAAGUAUGGUUGCAAAGCUGAAANCUUAAAGGAAUUGACGGAAGGGCACCACCAGGAGUGGAGCCUGCGGCUUAAUUUGACUCAACACGGGAAACCUCACCAGGCCCGGACACCGGAAGGAUUGACAGAUUGAGAGCUCUUUCUUGAUUCGGUGGGUGGUGGUGCAUGGCCGUUCUUAGUUGGUGGAGCGAUUUGUCUGGUUAAUUCCGAUAACGAACGAGACUCUAGCCUGCUAACUAGGCGUAUUUUCGACAUCUCAAAGGUCCGCCGGCCCGGCGUUCGCGUCGCGGUCGUGCGCGAUUUUUACUGUCGGCGUACAAUCAAUUCUUCUUAGAGGGACAGGCGGCAUUUAGCCGCACGAGAUUGAGCAAUAACAGGUCUGUGAUGCCCUUAGAUGUUCUGGGCCGCACGCGCGCUACACUGAAGGAAUCAGCGUGUCUUCCCUGGCCGAGCGGCCCGGGCAACCCGCUGAACCUCCUUCGUGCUAGGGAUUGGGGCUUGCAAUUGUUCCCCAUGAACGAGGAAUUCCCAGUAAGCGCGAGUCAUAAGCUCGCGUUGAUUACGUCCCUGCCCUUUGUACACACCGCCCGUCGCUACUACCGAUUGAAUGAUUUAGUGAGGUCUUCGGACCGGUACGCGCUGGCGCUUCGGCGUCGCCGAUGUUGCUGGGAAGAUGACCAAACUUGAUCAUUU